rnacentral:lncRNA from 1 species
GCCGCCGUCGGUUCCGUCCGCACAUCUGGUUGAGGGGCGUCUCCUGUCGCCAUCUGUCAUCGUGAAUGGGGCCGUGCCGACGCGUCAGACGGGACGAACGGGGGAAGUCGGUCCAGAGUCACUGCGCCGCGCGGUUGUGUGAGCAAGCCGUGGGCUAGGUACCGCUCCAGGUCAGACAAUGGUUGGCACUGAAGAGUGCGGCGACACUACAGAGCUGUGAACGAAGACGGUGAACGGCGAGAUGUGGUGACCGCUUGACUGACCUGUGCCCAAAGUCGUGAUCUACCGCUGGGGUCAGUGCGUGAGAAGCUGGACUCGGCACCAACGGAGGACGCAGCUCGACGAGGAAGAUAUGCUGUGUUGAGGGACGUCUGCCGGUUACGACCGGAAGGCUUCCGACGGGACUUGGCAGAACCCACAACAGCAGUAUGAACCCGGCGUGGAGUUAAUGCGUAAUUGCUCGCAUGAGCAACCGAAGAGCGAAUUCCAGGCGAAGCUGCCGCAGAAUUCCUGGAGAUGCGCUGGGACAUGGAUCAUAGCAAGGUGGCUCUCAGCGGCAGCUGACCGCUGAGAUGUGUCUGAAACAGCCAAAAGGAAGACUCGAGUUGUGGAUCCAGGGCACUACUGAACGGAAGGCCGGACCAGCUGUAGGGAGACUACAGAAAAGCCGUCGUUCUCAAUCUGCUGAACAGACUCCUACUGCAGAGGAUCAACUGGGGUUCGACGCGUUAGAACUGGGGUUACACCGGUUACCAGUGCUCGUGUUCGUCACCUGUUGUUUGUCACUGCUGCGCUGCUGCUGUAAUGUUUGCCACCUGCUAAGCGUUCACAAUGUAUUUUAAGUGAAUAAUAACUUUUUUUAGUGUUUGUCUUGAUUUGUAACGAGUAUAUCAAAUAUCAAGCAUGUUAACCUUUCAUCAAAUGAAGGACUCCACAUAAACAUAGUAUAGGCUGUGGUGGUACAGACACAUACCAUGCUUGGCCGACUGUUGUGUAUUGAUCUAGUCGUUGAAGCGUCCUGAAAGUCUGGAAAUAAACAGGCAUGCCCAAAUGGAUUGGUUCUAAUUAUUUUCCUGUGUGGUUUUAUCGUUUCCCUAUUGCGGGGAAACAAGUGGACAAUUUUGUUUGUAUAUAAACAAGUAUGUUUAUACAAAUAUUUGUAUGUUUACAGACAAAAUAAAUAGUCAUUGUCAAUUUUAAUGGGACCCGAUUUGUUUCCCAGUGCGGUUUUUACUGGCUUCUCCGUACGGGGAAAAAAGCAGACAAGGCAGUAGGGCCAUUGCCAAGUCGGGGAACGGCCGGGGCUCGCGCGGGGAAAAGGUCUGGGAACGUUAGGGGAAAAUCACGGUUUCCCCGAUCGGGGAAGGUCUCCAGUAAGUAUAAACCCGUAUAGCCGGGUGGGGGAAUGUGCGGGGCUCGCACAGGAUCUUCUUGGGGAAAAUGUUCGAUAUCCCCGUACGAGGAACCGACUUUAACAACGGGUUUUAACCAUAGUCGGCGCGGGGGUAGCUUGGGGGACGUUUGGGGAACGCUUGGGUAGUUAUACCGUUUCCCCGUACGAAUCCCGCACAAAGUUCCCCGUACAAAGUGUCUCAAAUCCCAAGCGAACGCUCCGUUUUCCCCAAGAGAACGGUUGGGGUUUCCCCGAGCCUGCCCCAAGCUCGCCUUAGGCCUUCCCCGUACGGGGAAAGCUCCGAUUUGCUGGCUGGGUGUACUGUCGGGUAGACUUGGCUUGUGCUCAGAAGUAAACAUUUAACAUUUGCGAGGCUUUUUGUGGUGUGAUGGGUGCGUUUUGUCUUUUGUUUACGUGUUUUUGUUUACUUACUGGCAUUGUUUUUUUUUUCUGGGGGUACGUGGUCGACGGAGCGCGUGUUUAUCAAGACGUUGCCGUCGUUAGCUGGUUAUGUUUAGACUGCUAAGUUUGUUAUUGUUUUAUUUGUCGUAGAACAUGACGUAGAUGCGUAGCGUACAUAUAAAGGAUGUUUGGUUGUAAUUCAUGAACAAUUACGGCUGUUGCAAAUAAGUGCAUAGCGUUAAACACAGAUGUUAUACGUAGGCUGUUCGACUUGCUAAAGCGUCGGCUAUCGGGUUUUCUGCUCUAAAGCAUAACUGCCCUGAGUGAAAGUGGUCAUUGGCUCUGGAAUCUUGAUCGCAUUUGAACGAAUGAUCGAAAGUAUGUGCGUGUGUAUGCGUUUGUACGUGCUUGGUCUUGUAUUUAUAUGUGUGCACGUGCGUACGCUUAUGUAGGUGUAUGUUUGCUAUGCUGUGCGUGAAGCGCUUUUUUAGCUCUGUGAGCGGGCUUAUGUGUGCUCAUAUUUGCUUGUGCAUACGUAUGCGAGUAUGGACAAAUGAAAAGGUGUUUUGUAGGCAUUUAUGAGUGUUUCUGUGUGUGUUUAAGAUGGCUGAUGUUCUGUGAAGUGGGACGGCGAAUCAUAAUAUACUCCUUUCUCAGGCGGUUA